rnacentral:rRNA from 1 species
UACGAAGGGGGCUAGCGUUGCUCGGAAUCACUGGGCGUAAAGGGCUCGUAGGUGGCCAACUAAGUCAGACGUGAAAUCCCUCAGCUUAACUGGGGAACUGCGUCUGAUACUGGAUGGCUUGAGAUUGGGAGAGGGAUGCGGAACUCCAGGUGUAGCGGUGAAAUGCGUAGAUAUCUGGAGGAACACCGGUGGCGAAGGCGGCAUCCUGGACCAACACUGACACUGAGGAGCGAAAGCCAGGGGAGCAAACGGG